AACGAACGCUGGCGGCAUGCCUAACACAUGCAAGUCGAACGAGACCUUCGGGUCUAGUGGCGCACGGGUGCGUAACGCGUGGGAACCUGCCUUUAGGUUCGGAAUAACUCAGAGAAAUUUGAGCUAAUACCGGAUGAUGUCUUCGGACCAAAGAUUUAUCGCCUUUAGAUGGGCCCGCGUUGGAUUAGCUAGUUGGUGGGGUAAAGGCCUACCAAGGCGACGAUCCAUAGCUGGUCUGGGAGGAUGAUCAGCCACACUGGGACUGAGACACGGCCCAGACUCCUACGGGAGGCAGCAGUGGGGAAUAUUGGACAAUGGGCGAAAGCCUGAUCCAGCCAUGCCGCGUGAGUGAUGAAGGCCUUAGGGUUGUAAAGCUCUUUUACCCGAGAUGAUAAUGACAGUAUCGGGAAAAUAAGCUCCGGCUAACUCCGUG
rnacentral:rRNA from 1 species